GAGAGAGAGAGAGAGAGGAGAGAAAGAACAAUACAAAUGAAUGGUUCAUCUGUACACUGUUCCAAUUAUUAUGAAAUAUAUUGGUGUGUAUUUAACAAUGUAUCAAAUCGCAUAUGAUUAAGGACAAUAUAAUGUGUGGACGUAAUGUUCACAUGUUUAUAUGUACUGUAGACAAACAGUAAGUAAAAAAUUUUUUUCACAGUAAGUGAAUUUUUUUUUUUUUUAUCAUGUCCAAUCAACUGAAUUUACCACAGGUGGACUCCAGUCAAGUUGUCUCAAGGAUGAUCAGUGGAAACAGGAUGCACCCGAGCUCAAUUUUGAGUGUCAUGGCAAAGACUGUGAAUAUUUAUGUACAUGUGCUUUUUUUGUUUUUUAUUUUUAAUAAAUUUGCAAAGAUUUCAAACAAACUUCUUUCACGUUGUCAUUAUGGGGUAUUGUUUGUAGCAUUUUGAGGAAAAUAAUGAAUUUAAUCCAUUUUGGAAUAAGGCUGUAACAUAACAAAAUGUGGAAAAAGUGAUGCGCUGGGAAUACUUUCCGGAUGCACUGUAAACAUUUCACAACUGGCCAUCGCUCAUGAGGAAUGGGAUAAGAUUCUUAAGGAAUGCUGCCAGAAGCUCUGCAUCUUGUUUGCAGCAGGAUAUAACAGCAAAAUGGUGCUCUACUGAGUACUAAAGAUGCUUGCAAUGAAGGGGUUGAAUAAUUUUGAGACUGGAGAAGUCAUUAUAAGUUGCAUUUUCACUUUAAUUUGGUGAAACCACCUCAAGCAUUCGUUGUAUUGAACCUAUUUCAAUUGCUGUUGUUUGAUUUGUUCAUUGCAAACAACUGAAAAUCUGCAAGUUUUGAUAAUAAACCUGAUUUGCAAUGUGGAUUGAAAAUUUUUGAUUGCCAUUAUAUAAUUGUUAAUAUUUAAGCAUUCUAUAUAGUGUGUAGUAUGAGGUUUGUGGAGAAGGUAUGGAGACCCAAAUAAAAUAUUGUUAUUUUCCAGUAGUAUUGUACAAUUGCAUUGUUCUACCAGAGAGGGCAGCUUUUUUAAAUCUUACAUUCAGCAGCUUUAAUAAGACAAAAUUAUGAUUAUCUCCACAAUAUUAUAAAUGUCUCUGUGGAUAUUAAAAGGGGAAGUAAUGUUCAUACACACUGUCAGUGAAGCUUUACCUUGUAUUAUGUAUGGGACUUGUCAUUUCAAGGAAGAUACAGAGAAGAGCAGAGAGGGAGAAAGAACAAUACAAAUGAAUGAUUCCCCUCUACAUUGUACCAAUUAUUAUGAAAUAUAUUGGUGUGUAUUUAAAAAUGUAUCCAAUCUCAUAUGUUGAUGGAUGAUAUAAUGGGUGGAUGCAAUGUUUGCACAUUUAUACAUACACAUGCUUUCUGAUGUUGUAGUAGUUUGUCCUGUUGCCGUUCCACCUAAUAUUAGAAAGAGAGAGAGAAUGAGAGAGAUGAAUGAAUUGAUGAAGGAAUAGGAAUAUUCAUGAAUUACCUUUUCCUCACUUUUAAGGAGGCCUUUGUGCCAUGUGAAAAGAGCAUCAUUUAAGAACUCAACUGAUUUCUUAGUUGUAGGCUCUGAUUGGUAUUUCAGCAGAUAGGUCCCAUGGACUCCCCAAACCACUACUACCAUGGGCUGUGCUGCUCACCAGCUGGAGGGACAUUUGGACUAAGUGGGAUAGAUGGUAUGAGGAGAGUGCACAAGCCUAGAAGGAGACUCUUUGUUUCCCUCCCACCCUGAUUCCACUGAGAACACCGCCCCUACCCUUCCCUGCUGAGGACCUCACUCGGCUUUCGUGCUCCGCUGAGGACAAUGCUUUGCUUCUGUCUUCCGCUGGGGAUUCUGCUUGGCUUCUGUUUUCUGCUGAGGACAUGGCUUCAUUUCUAUGGUCCGCUGAGAAUGUUGCUCCGCUUCUGUGUUCUGCUGAGGAUGUUGCUCCACUUUCCUGUUCUGCUGAGGAUGUUGCUCAGCCUUCCUGCUCUGCUGAGGAUGUUGCUCCGUUUCCCUAUUCCGCUGAGGACAUCGCUCUGCGUCCUUGUACUGCUAAGGACCUCACUCUGCCUACUUGCUCGUCUUGGGAUGUCUCACUGCUUCCGUGCCUUGCUGAGGACAUCAUUACUCCCCUUUUCUCAGCUAAGGAUGUUGUACCUCCCACUUGCUGAGCUGAGGAUGUUGCUCCACCUCCUUGUUUUACCGUCACUGUUGCUCCCCACUGACCUCACCUUAGUCAUCGCUCCCCCCUGGCCUUGCCACAGUCAUCACACUCCCCCUCUGUCCUCGCCGUGAUCGUCACUUCCCCACGGCCUUGCUGUAGUCAUUGCUUCCACCCUGGCCUUACUAUAGUCAUCACUCCCUCCCAACCUCACUGUAGUUGUUGCUUCCCCUCUGGCCUUGCUGUAGUUGUCGCUUUCCCUUUGGCCUCACCAUAGGAGUGGCUGUCACUCACCCCCAGCCUCAGGUGCUGAUUAAAAAAACAACUUUUGAUUACACAGGUGCAAGUGAAUGUUUAUCAAUGCACCAACUUAUUUGUAAUCGCAAAUGUGAACAGAAUUGUCAAAAUGUACUGCCCUGUCCAGAACCCCAGUUGGUGGGAAUGGAGAUGCAGAAAUGCAACACCUGUAAAACUAUUUAACACUGCUUUUGCACAUUUUUAUAUGACAGCCCAGUCUGGGUGCAUCUUCAGCUAGACUGUCUUUAGCUACCAGAGGGAGGCACAGUACACCGCUGAAGUAAUCAGGAGCAAAGAGGUACACCUGUCCGCCUGGCUACUUGUGACAAGCAGUCUGGGUUUUCCCCCAAAUGCUCCUAAUUUAAACACUUCCUGGUUAAGUUUGUGCUGUUAUUUUCUUCUUGGUUUUUGUUUUUAUGAGUUCCCCUGGUUUUGGCUUUAUUUGCCAUAAGGCAGGUGUCAGGCUGCAUACCUUUUAAGCCAUUUAUGAUUGCACCCCUGCCCAUGGCAUACUGGUAACCUACUUGCUUCUCAAUCCAGAGGUUGCAAGUUUGAGGUUUCCCAAACACAGGGGCAUGAGUUCGAUUCCAACAUAGAGUGAGUCAUCACAUUACAGAAAGAUUGUGUUAACAUCAUGGACUCAACAGAGCAAGGAAAAUGUUCUAUAACUAACCAGGUUACUGCUAUCAGAAGGCAUGAGCAGAUAUCAUCUCAGCUGCAAGGAACUGCUGCAGGUUGUUCAGUCAUUCAGGCCCCACCAUUGUCUUCUCAAGCUGCUGGGGUGUUCCACAAUGUUUUAUUGAUGCAAUAUUUUAUUGAUGCUGCCUGGGCCAGAACACUUAAGCUACCACUUGUUCUCCUGGAGCAUCUGCUACACUUAUCAACUAUCGAUGGGUGAUCUCUUCAGCCUUUGCUGGUCUCCCAACAGAACCAAAACCUCACACUCCAAAUUGGGCAGUAUUCUGAGCCAAUCACCCUGUUCCUUACUAGUGCCACUGAUCUGCAGUUGGCGCUGACGUUCCGCUGGCUGCAGAGAAACAACUCCCAUGUGGACUAGUUGACACGGUCAGUAGUAGUCUGGGAGCCCCAGGACAGGGUAUCUGUUUUUAGGCUUCCAAUCCCCAUGCCAGAGCUUCCUCACCCUCCUCUGUGUAGCCCUGACAAGUCUUGGGUCUGUUACCCUUUACCCCUCAUGUCCUCCACCUUGACGCAUGGCAGCUGGCUUCUGUUUUUACCAACCUGGAACUGCGCAGUUCCUACAAUCUCAUCCAGGUUUAGAGAGGUAAUGAAUGGAAUUUUUCUGUCAGGCCAUAAUGAGUACCUUAUGAUGGCCUUUGGGUUGAUGAAUGCACUGGCUGCCUUCCAGUGUUACAUCAACAGGUCCUGAGGGAGGCCUUUGACUGCUAUGUGUUUGUCUCUCUAGAUGACAUUCUCAUUUAUAGUCAGUCAGUGGAUGAAUAUAUAGUUUGUCAGGAGUGUUAUCCAGUUUCUCCAAGAGAAUCAUGUCUAUGUUAAAUUGGAGAAAUCACUUUUCAAUGCUCAGUCAGUCACUUUUCAAGGCGCUUCUGAGCAUGAAUCCAGCCAUGAUUAAGGCAGUUGUGGGCUGGUAGGUACUCUUGGGCACUGGUGGGCCUGACCCAGGUGGAGGGCCUCUAAGUAGACUCUAUGUUCCCACCUCCAUCAGGGCUAAAGUGCUGCAUUGAGCAACAUGCCUCACCAUGUGCAGCUCAUCCAGGGGACACAUGUAUGUAGAUAAAUUUGUGCCAAAACAAAUAAAUCUACCGUUUCGCAAACAAACACAAUCUGCUUUGCAAAGGAAAACUCAAAGCAAACAGAUUCUGGUGCAAAUCUGGCGCAGAUUUUCUCACAAAUGCAGCUGAGCAACUUCCUCUUCCAAACCAACAGAUGUCAAUUUACACUAGUCUCCUGUGGAGAAGCACACAUUACAUUACAUGCACUGUUUUGUUGUAGGUUACAGAGUGUUCCAUUCUUUCAGCAGUCAGUUAUAGGCCUACCAUCGGCUAUUCAAGGGGCUCAAAGAUGACCACAUAAAAAUAUUUUUAUUUUACUCAUUUAUUUAUUUAAAGUUAUAUUGUGCCUUGUUGGUAGCCUAUGUCUGCUGGAAUGAAAAAAAAAAAGUUCAGUGUUAAAUAAAUAUUUUGAAAUUGUAGUUUUUGUAAUUGAUUUUUUCUUUGAAAAGCAAGACAAAAUAGUAAAAAGCACAUUUUGACUAUUUAAUUUAUGCAAUGGUGAAAAAAUGCCAAAAUAAAUGGAAAAAAACGCGAAAAAACAUGUUCGGUAUUCGGCCUUCGGCUUUCGGCCAAGUUUUUCAUUAUGUUUGGUUUCGGCUUCGACCAAGAAUUUUCAUUUCGGUGCAUCCCUA
ensembl:lncRNA